AUCUUUGGUGAACUAGCUAUAUGAUGAAUAAUGAAAAACCAUAAAGCUAGAUCAACAAGGCU
rnacentral:pre_miRNA from 1 species